GCUUCCACAUUGUGAGAUGCUCCUGGGAGAGGCUCUCAUGGCAAAGGAAUUGAGGGAAGCCUUGGUCCCACCACCCACGAGGAACUAAAUCCUACUAACAACCAUGUGACUGAGUUCGGGAGCAGAUCAUUUCCAGUGGAGCCCUGAAAGGACUAUAGCUUUGUGUCAGAUCUGGAGCUGGAAGAUGCUGAAGUCCCAUUUGUAAGCCACCCUUCUAUAGUAGCAGUGGAUUCAGGGAGGAAGGAUGGUGCCAGGGAGAGCAAGGAGCCAAAGAACUGAGAAGUGGACAAGGACCUCCGUUCUGGUAGCUACAUACGUUUGGGGAUCUGGGAAGAACGUCCUCCGAAUGGAAGGAUUAGCCAGCCAGGGGCUUGGACCAGACUCCUGAGCAUCAGAACCCUGAGAAGAAAAUGGAGCAAUAUGAACUACAGACAUUCACCACCAGGGGACGCUGCCACCUGUACCAGGGCUAUUCCCAAACCUGAGGACUUCAGCUUAGUGACUAAGCAUAUUUUCUAUAACUUUACACAGUACCUUUGCUUGUGUGCACACUCUCUUCUAGCUCUAAGAUACGAGAUUCAGUAAUGUUGUAAAGUUAGUUCCUCAAUGCUAAGGGUUUUGUCAUGAUCCUGAAAGUCCCCAGAAUCAAAUAUAUGCUGUUGGGAAAAACGGGGUCAUGGGAAUAAUAAUCAUGUGCGAACUUUUGAAAGCGUAUACGCUGUAGUUUAAAUCUGUACAUAUAUAAAAUUCACUCAUGUAGGUACAAAACUCCAAUCACUUAUCUCUUUAUACACCUACAUGAAAGAAACAAAGCAUACCCAUAUAUUUCUCCGUAGUUAAGAAUAGUUCUAUUUUGAACUCUUUGGGGACAUUUUUAUCAUUUUUAUCUUCUAAAUAUUAAUAGUAUUAUUUAAUUUCCAGUAUGAUUUAUUUUGUGAAAAUUUUGCUCACCUACAACUAAAAACCUACCAAUUUAAGCCACCAUUUCUAGCCAUUUAUAGAAAGAAAUGUGUAUGUGUGUAUGUAUAUAUGGAUACCUCAAGUCUCUUUUCUACC